UACGGAGGGUGCAAGCGUUAAUCGGAAUUACUGGGCGUAAAGGGUGUGUAGGUGGUUUUUUAAGUUAGCUGUUAAAUACCUGGGCUUAACCUGGGGAUGCCGGCUGAUACUGAAAGACUUGAGUAUGGGAGAGGGUAGUGGAAUUUCCGGUGUAGCGGUGAAAUGCGUAGAGAUCGGAAGGAACACCGGUGGCGAAGGCGGCUACCUGGCCUAAUACUGACACUGAGGCACGAAAGCGUGGGGAGCAAACAGGAUUAGAUACCCUGGUAGUCCACGCUGUAAACGAUGUCAACUAGCUGUUGGUCAUAUGAAUAUGAUAAGUGGCGAAGCUAACGCGGUAAGUUGACCGCCUGGGGAGUACGGUCGCAAGAUUAAA
rnacentral:rRNA from 1 species